rnacentral:rRNA from 1 species
GACGAACGCUGGCGGCGUGCUUAACACAUGCAAGUCGAACGGAAAGGCCCUGCUUUUGUGGGGUGCUCGAGUGGCGAACGGGUGAGUAACACGUGAGUAACCUGCCCUUGACUUUGGGAUAACUUCAGGAAACUGGGGCUAAUACCGGAUAGGAGCUCCUGCUGCAUGGUGGGGGUUGGAAAGUUUCGGCGGUUGGGGAUGGACUCGCGGCUUAUCAGCUUGUUGGUGGGGUAGUGGCUUACCAAGGCUUUGACGGGUAGCCGGCCUGAGAGGGUGACCGGCCACAUUGGGACUGAGAGACGGCCCAGAAUCCUACGGGAGGCAGCAGUGGGGAAUAUUGCACAAUGGGCGGAAGCCUGAUGCAGCAACGCCGCGUGCGGGAUGACGGCCUUCGGGUUGUAAACCGCUGUCGCCUGUGACGAAGCGUGCGUGACGGUAAUGGGUAAAGAAGCACCGGCUAACUACGUG